AUAGAAAGGACUUCCAGCUUCCUGUGCUCACCUGUCACAGUCAGAUGACUACAUAUCUCCCAUUCCCUCAGGAGAAGUUUGUUGUCUGGAGAAACUGAGCCAGAGAGGUUUAAGACUUGGGGCCCCGAAAGAAGAAGAGUGGAAUGCCAACCUGAAAACAGGGGAGUGUUGAACAUCUGCACGUGGAAUGACCUCGGGAUCGUGAGGAAACCUGGUGGAUGGGAGCAGUGCGGCGCAAGGAACUGUUCCUGACCAUCUGCGGUGACAGAGAGUUUGCACCAGAGCAUACUUCUGCACACGACUUUCUUUAUUGUGAAGCUCUUGCCUUGAAAACAACUGUCAACUGCACUCAAAAUAGCGUGCAGAACGCAGCUCAGCCACAUACUUGAAAAUUCCAUCACCAGUGCCUUGAUGAUCCGUGCAGUUGAUUUGAAUGUCACUGCUCCAGUCUCAGAAUUUCACCUGGGUGCCUCCACAGGAGGUUCACAGAUGACGAAAAGUAGCUUGAGCAUGGUUGGCAGCAGAAUGGACACUAGAACAUCACCUCUACCAUCUCUCAGAGCUGUGUUUUCUUUUUUAGAUUACGACUCUCCGUGCUUCUCUUUGCUUUGGAAACAGUUACUCCAAAUAUAUACUGAUUUGUGAGUUUUUGAAGGAUCAGAUCUGGAAGGAAGUUGCAGGACAUAUAAAGAAACUCAGAUUGUAUCCUAAAGGUGAUGGGGGAUUAUUGAUGACCUUGGUAUUGUAGAAAGGCUCUCUCUCCCAAACCUUACUAUUCUUUGUUUGGGUCCUUUAUGUCAUCUCUCAAUCUCUACAUCUCCUCAUUUCAAUAUUAUCUCAUGGUAUAAAUGAUAGAAUUGCUAAUUGUAUCAUGUGGAAGUUGGUUCAGAGGUUCCUACAUUUAGAUUUUAGACAUACUUGUAGCAUAUGUGUAUACUUAUGGCUUUGAAGUCCUUCCACUAAAAAGGGAAUAAAUCGCAGAAUGGUAUAUGGCUUCUGGCAAGAAUACCAUUUCAACUGUGUUUUUUCAGCAACGCUCUUUUUUCCUGAGUCUGGUAUGAAUUAUGAUUUCCAACACUGGAUUUAUUUUUAUAGAAAGCUCAAUUUAUCUUAGAAACUACUGUUAACAGCAGUGAAAGCUAAGGCCAAAUAUUGAUGCACACUGUUUUAAUGGCAAGCACUCUAUUUUCCCAACUUUCAGUACAGUUCUGUAGCAUCCAUUGAAUACUCUAAUGUUGUCACUGAAGAUGAUGAGAAGAUGGUGAAGUGUGGUUUAACGGAACUGGACUUUCUUGAGGUAAUCAAAAGGGUUGACACAGACCUUGUAAGUUAACAGUAGGUAUAUCAACCUUCUUCCAUUGUUUUUUUUUUUUAAUUUAAAUUCAAUUAACCAACUUAUAGUACAUCAUUAGUUUCAGAUGUAGUGUUCAAUAAUUUAUCAGUUUCGUGUAAGUCUCAGUUCUCAUCCCAUCAUGUGCCCUCCUUAAUGCCCAUCACCCAGUUACCCCAUCCCCCAACUCACUUUCCCUCCAGCAACCCUCAGUUUGUUUCCUAUAGUGAAGUCUUCCAUUGUUUUUUCACUCUGGAUUGUGUUUGAAUCAGCAAGGCCUAGGAAAAGGUAAUCUUAUUUAUUAAUCCUCAACCACUCAUUUUCAUUGAUUAAAUAAUAAAAGUCUGAAACUCCUAGAGCUACCUGUAAUAAGGCAAGCACUGUGCUGAGCACUUUAUGUACACUCUCUUCAAUAAUAUGGAAAUAUAUAUACUCUAUUCAAUGUAUAGGACAAAGGAAGGAUUCAAUGGCAAAUAUCGAACAUCUGCAUUCAACAUGACCUCCGCACAAAAAUGGAUGGGAAUGGAGAAGUAGUGAUUUCCUGAGCUGUGAUGGACAGGAAGUCUAUGUUCACAGACACAGCUCUCUGCCUUUACGGGGUUCAUUUCCAAUCAGGGAGGGUACAAUAAGAAAAUAUGUGCUGGAAUUCAUCCUCAUUCCUGGUUGAUACUCUCUAGAGGGAGGGUAUUGUGUAAAAGCAACUGAAAAUGGUAGCCUCCUUUCUGUAACAGCCUGCCCUAGCUCCUCAUUUAUAAGGUUGGCCCCAGCAAACUUGAGAAAGGAGACACGUUUGUUUUAGUGUCCCGUCCUCUCUUUCUGCCCUCUGCUUCAACACUCCUUCCUCUUCUGUCAUCUCCUAAGGCCUACUAAGGAAGCCCUUCAGCCCUAUUUUUCCAGAAGCUCAUUUUCAGUUCAUGUGUAUCUAAUCCUUACUGGUGGCUUAACCAGAAAGCAAAUUAAAUUUUUCCUCUGGGAGGCACUGAUUCCAAGGGGUUCCUGAAAAAUUAUAAACCUUUACCACACAAAAGAGGAAAUGCGAAUGGUGACUUCAAGCACCGAGGUGAUGGGUAUUGGGCAAUCUAUCCAAUAACUCUGAAAUAAAACGAAGUGUCACUCAUUAAGUGACACUGGUCACUGGUCAUGU